rnacentral:rRNA from 1 species
UACAGAGGGUGCGAGCGUUGUUCGGAAUUAUUGGGCGUAAAGGGCGCGUAGGCGGUGCGGCAAGUCACCUGUGAAACCUCUGGGCUUAACCCAGAGCCUGCAGGCGAAACUGCCGUGCUGGAGUGUGGGAGAGGUGCGUGGAAUUCCCAGUGUAGUGGUGAAAUACGUAGAGAUUGGGAAGAACACCAGUGGCGAAGGCGGCUAUCUGGACGGUUUCUGACGCUAAGACGCGAAAGCGUGGGGAGCAAACAGG